rnacentral:lncRNA from 1 species
UCCCAGGUAACUGUAGGAAUACAGCUUGUAUGUGCUGUUGAACAUCUGAAAUGAAGUUGUAUGGCCAGCUGGUGAUGUCUGGAGAGUUGCCUCAGUGCGUGGGAGGAAGGUGAUCUGCGUGGAUCCACCACCCAAAUCCAGCAUUCCUACACUUCUCUUCUGCGUAUCAUCUAAGCUACCUGUUAAAAAGUUUAUUGUGAUCCAG